CUCACGUCAGCUCGUUUCACUUUUAAUACGCCUAAUUUAUCCCUCCUGGAAAAAAAAACUGCAAAGAACAGAAGAACUAAGUUCCAUCCGUUUCACAUUCUCAGCAAUCAAUGCGGUUCAUGUUGAAUAUUUGUUUUUUCUUUUAAAUCAAGAGUCCAAUAGAAUGGAAUCUUCUUUAAACCUUAUUAAUUCACCCACAUACGUUUCUUUUCAUGAUCUCGCGAACUUAUAAAUUCACAUGCAUCUAGAAAUCUAUCCAACAGAUCGAAGAAGAAACUCAUUUGAGGUAUUUCACAUCAGGGUUCUUAUUUCUCUCUCUUAAUGUUGUUGUUUUCCCUCUAUUAAAAGAUUUUUGUUGGUGCACGACAUAUAAAAUAUAAAAGCAGCAUCCAGAUUCGCACCAGCGCUUCCAGAACUUUUGUGGGAAGCACCUACAAACCUUUCAAUUAUACAUGUUAAGCUGAAGAAGGCAAAUAUUGGAUGACCACGUUCGAAUCUCUGGAAAGUGGAAUGAAUUUGACUUCAUGAGGACAUAAACCAGCUUGGAUGUUAUCAUGAUUGAUGACAAAGGUGAUUACAACUGCCAUCUGAAGAAGAGGCAGGUUCAAUGAAGCUCUUACAACUACGGAGUACCGCCUAAAUGGAUCAUUAGAAGCACUAAUACUGUCUCAACAUUUUGUGGCAUGGUGCUUGGAACGAUAUAUUUUCAGGUACCGAGGUUCACUAAGAAGCCUAAUUACCGUGGCACAGGGAUAUCAUUCCGGCAAUCAUAUAUUUUAGCCCUAUGCUGAUAAACACCUUCUACCUAGAAGAGUUAAAUCAUUUACCAACAAACAGAAAUUGUGAUCUCAUGUUUGAGAUAUCAAUAUCUCAAUUGCAGUUAGUAAAUCCACUACUCUUUGUGUAUGUGUAAAUAUGUAAUCUUCAUGAAGUCUUUUUUUUUCUGUUGCCAAAACAUCACAAUUAGCCCACAGUUAAGGUUUAAAUAUAGUACAUUAGAUAUGGUUCUUAA